rnacentral:rRNA from 1 species
UACGUAGGGCGCAAGCGUUGUCCGGAAUUAUUGGGCGUAAAGAGCUCGUAGGCGGUCUGUUGCGUCUGCUGUGAAAACUCGGGGCUUAACCCCGAGCCUGCAGUGGAUACGGGCAGACUAGAGGUAGGUAGGGGGAGAAUGGAAUUCCCGGUGUAGCGGUGAAAUGCGCAGAUAUCGGGAGGAACACCGGUGGCGAAGGCGGUUCUCUGGGCCUUACCUGACGCUGAGGAGCGAAAGCGUGGGGAGCGAACAGG